rnacentral:tRNA from 1 species
GGGGCUGUAGCACAGUGAUAGAGCUCUUGCUGAGCCUGUGCAAGGCCCUGGGUUCAAUCCCCAGCACCCCCC